UGAAACUGCGUACAGCUCAUUAUAUCAGUUAUUAUUUAUUUGAAGGUGACUCACUACAUGGAUACCUGUAGUAAUUCUAGAGCUAAUACAUGCGUAAAGUUCCGACUCUCGGGAAGGAAUGUAUUUAUUAGAUAAAAAAUCAAUGCAGGUUUUACCUGCUUCAUUGGUGAUUCAUAGUAACUGUUCGGACCGUAUGGCCUUGUGCUGACGGUAGUUCAUUCAAAUUUCUGCCCUAUCAGCUUUCGAUGGUUGUGUCGUGGACAACCAAGGCAUCGACGGGUAACGGAGAAUUAGGGUUCGAUUCCGGAGAAGGAGCCUGAGAAACGGCUACUACAUCCAAGGAAGGCAGCAGGCGCGCAAAUUACCCAAUACUUACACAGUGAGGUAGUGACAAAAAAUAACA
rnacentral:rRNA from 1 species